GCAUAUCAAUAAGCGGAGGAAAAGAAACCAACAGGGAUUGCCCUAGUAACGGCGAAGUGAAGCGGCAACAGCUCAAAUUUGAAAUCUGGCUCUCGGGCCCGAGUUGUAAUUUGUAGAGGAUACUUUUGAUGCGGUGCCUUCCGAGUUCCCUGGAACGGGACGCCAUAGAGGGUGAGAGCCCCGUCUGGUUGGAUGCCAAAUCUCUGUAAAGUUCCUUCGACGAGUCGAGUAGUUUGGGAAUGCUGCUCUAAAUGGGAGGUAUAUGUCUUCUAAAGCUAAAUACCGGCCAGAGACCGAUAGCGCACAAGUAGAGUGAUCGAAAGAUGAAAAGCACUUUGAAAAGAGAGUUAAAAAGUACGUGAAAUUGUUGAAAGGGAAGCGUUUAUGACCAGACUUGGGCUUGGUUAAUCAUCUGGGGUUCUCCCCAGUGCACUUUUCCAGUCCAGGCCAGCAUCAGUUUUCGCCGGGGGAUAAAGACUUCGGGAAUGUGGCUCUCUCCGGGGAGUGUUAUAGCCCGUUGUGUAAUACCCUGGCGGGGACUGAGGUUCGCGCAUCUGCAAGGAUGCUGGCGUAAUGGUCAUCAACGACCCGUCUUGAAACACGGACCAAGGAGUCGUCUUCGUAUGCGAGUGUUCGGGUGUCAAACCCCUACGCGUAAUGAAAGUGAACGCAGGUGAGAGCUUCGGCGCAUCAUCGACCGAUCCUGAUGUUCUCGGAUGGAUUUGAGUAAGAGCAUACGGGGCCGGACCCGAAAGAAGGUGAACUAUGCCUGUAUAGGGUGAAGCCAGAGGAAACUCUGGUGGAGGCUCGCAGCGGUUCUGACGUGCAAAUCGAUCGUCAAAUAUGGGCAUGGGGGCGAAAGACUAAUCGAACCUUCUAGUAGCUGGUUUCCGCG
rnacentral:rRNA from 1 species